rnacentral:rRNA from 1 species
GACGAACGCUGGCGGCGUGCUUAACACAUGCAAGUCGAACGGACGGGCCCUACUUUUGUUGGGUUCUCGUUUGCCGCACGCGUGUGUAACACGUGAGUAUCCUGCACUUGUCUUUCUGAUAACUUCAGGAAACUGCGGCUAUUACCGGGUAGGAGCUCCUGCUGCAUAGUGUUGGUUGGAGAGAUCCGGCGGUGCUGGCUGGACUGGCGGCUUAUCCGCUUGUUGGUCUAGUAGUGGCUUACGAGGGGUUUGACGGGUAGCCGGCAUGGGAGGGGGAACGGCGACAAUGGGACUGAGAGACGGACCAGACGGCUACGGGAGGCAGCAGUGGGGAAUAUGGCAGAAUGGGCGGAAGCCUGAUGCAGAAACGUCGCGUGCGGGAUGACGGGCUUCGGGGUGUAAACCGAUGUCGCCGGUGAUGUAGCGUGAGUGACGGUAAUGGGUAAAGAAGCACCGGCUAACUAUGUG